CGUUUGAUAGUCUUUGUGUAUAUAUAUAAAAAUAAAAACGGUUAAAGUAAAAAUUUAAAAAGAAAAAGAAAAAAAGAUUGCAACUAAAAAAACCCAAGCGAUACAGAGAAGCCUAGGACACGUAGAGAAAUAGAGAAAGAGGUGAUGAGGAAAAAACAUAAAAACCCAAAAUACGGUUUAGAGAGACAUACGUUGCAGAAAGGGAGAACUGAGAAAGAGAACGAUAGAGAGAGAUCCACUGUCAUUGAUGGUGGAGAGAGAAAAAUAUGGAAAGAUAGUCAGGCCUUUGCCAACAUCAGACCACCGUACCCUCCACCAGUAUGGUUUCUGUUUUUUUGUAUCGAAGUUUGCAGUAAAAAAAAAAACAAACGUUCUAUCAAGGGUCUCUCUUCUUCUUAAAAACCCUUCGUUCCCAGGAAAAAGAAAGAAUGCUAAGGAAGGAAGAUGAGUCCCUCUGCCUAUUAACAAUGCCUCCGAUGGGCUUCCUAUCCAUUCUCUGACUUUUUUUUCUUUUUAAUUUGUGAGAUGAAGUGGAAUCUUUGUUCAAUCUAGAGUAUCUAAAUUCAUCAAAGCAAAGCAGAAGCCUUUUCCUACAAUUAAGGCCGUUGCAACAUGUAGGAAGCAUUUGGCAAGGGAAAGUGCUCACUUGGUUUUAAACAAAGCUCUCUCUCAAUGCAAGGAGUGUAGAUACUGAAAAAUUCAGAUGCUAUGGAAAAGAAAUUGUAGUAAAUUAUAGACAACGGAAAUAGUAUUUGGAGAAGAUAAAGUAUUCGAAGAGGAAAUAGAAUAGAGAACCCUUCCACCACUGACCUACCAGGACUGCAAACAGUCUUAAUUGCUAUUAAGAGCCGGAGAGUAGUUGAGAAACUGCUAUAGACAAAUAAGAAAAUGGCUAUUAAUGACGUUGAUAAGAGGGCAAAAAUUGUCAAUAUCCUUAUGCACCAAGAAAUUUAUGGAAAAGGAUUGACUUUAAAAGCAUCAAGCAGAUGUACAUGGCUUAAGAAAGGAAUCAGGUCAUGCACUAGUAAUAAUAAUAUGGAAGCCGAGAGGAAGUGCCUAAAUUGUCCUACCUUUUCUCAGGAUAUGUCAAAGUCCUCCUAUCUUAGACUCGGAGCCAAUGGUGUUUACAAAUCGAAUACUUUAGUGGGGUUUUUCAAACUUGGGCUUCUUUCCAGUUAAGUGAUGGUAUUAUGAUUUCUUUUAAUUACAUUUUUGUUUAUGGUAUUUUAAUUUCUAAUGUUGUUUCAACUUUGCAAUUUUUAUUUCAUGUUAAGUUAUGCUUGAUAUGACUUUUGAGUUUAGUUCUAAUAUCACAUUAGCUACUGAGCAUGUGAAUCUGUUUCCAACUACUAAAGCUUAGAAUGAUUUGUUUUUGAUGUUGUCUUCCAGAUCUUGCACAUUUGUUUGCUGCCUCCUAAAGAUUGCAAUCUUUGUAGUUCUGUACCUCUAUAAUCAUAAUGCACACGAGCGUGUGAAUCAGUUUCCAACUAUUAAAGAUUGCAAAGCCAAUACCUCUUUUCUUUGAGAAAUUGAACAUUUUGGUACUACACACAAACAGACAUACAUUGAUCCAUAUCUAGGUUUAGAAAUAUAUAUUAUGUUACUUUCUUUUUUGUGUGCUUGGAGUUACACAGGAUGUAGGAGUUCUUUCUCAAAAAAAAAAAAAAAGGAUGUAGGAGUUAAUUCUCUCGCUGUUGUUUUUGUGAGUAGGUAUUAACUUGAUGUAGGUGGUCAUUUACUACACUAUUAUUGAUCUUCUUUAUUCUGUUUUUUACAAAUUAUUUUAAUUAAAUAAAACUAAAAAAAUACUGUAAGGGUAAAAUUUCCAAAGCCAACAAUGGGCCUUGGGCCCCACACGGAGCCCAACCAUGACCCAAAGGUAAAGCUCAUGGCCCAAUCCUAUGGAGCCCAGUUUGUUUUAAAAGACGUCCGAGGAGGAAUGUCUCCUUGGACACACCAAUAUGGGCCCAAUGUGCGCCCCCUCCACAGUGAAGAACCAUCCCAGACAAACGUGGGUAGUAGGAUGAGCCACACACAGAAGGAAAGAGGAAAAGGUAAGACAUCCAGAGAGAAGCCAUAACUACCGCAUUAAAUGCAAAGAAGCUACCUUUUCAGCCGCAUUUAUGUGGAGAAGACAGGCGAACAGUGUUGCAUUGGCCAGUGCAACUCACAGAAAGAUAAGGUGGAUAUCCGAUGAGACAGACACUCAAGUGAAGGUCCAAAUUGUUAACAAGUGUAAGGUUCUUAUCAAAUUAAGGAGGCUAUAUAAGAGAAGGAAAUUCCCAUGCAGAAAGGGGGGGGGGGGAGACUUUAGAGAAAAGGGAGAGAGAGAGGUAAAAGAAUUCUGUAGUUUGUAACCAGAGCAAGAGGUGCCAUUAUACGUCUCCUCGGACCAGUGUCCUGUAAACUUAAACAAAAUAUUAUCACAUUCAGACUGUUGCAUGGUCUACAUCUAACUGACGUUCACUUCGUCUAGCCCUAGUUCUGUAGCCCGCUCUCUACAAAUUCAUUGUCUGGGGACUAUUGGGCCAGAACCACUUACUUGCUGGGCUUGGGCCCCAAAAACAGCCCCUACAAUUGGCGCCGUCUGUGGGAAGAACUUGUGUCUCGACAAGUGAAGCAGUAAGAAAUGGAAGGAUCAGGUCCGCGCCAAGCUGGACGUGCAGAUUCCCAACGGCAGGACAAUUUUUUGAAUCUCGAACGAGAGAAGGACCAAGAUAAUAAACGAGAGGGCAAUGUGAACACCUCUCACACGAGUAGAAGUCGCUCAAAAGGGAAAGACCAUGCAUCCCAUAAGCAAAGUGAUCGAAAGGCUCUACAGCAAGAGAUUGAUGAUUUGAAGAAGAAGCUGCGCCGAGCGCAGCGAAAACGUCCUUCACCCGGCUCGGGUACUAGCAGUGAUGAGGAUAACGAAUACAGGCGAAGAUCAAGAACCCCUCCGAGCGAGACCUUUUCCUACGAGGAAGAGCAGCCUCGCAAACGCAGCCACAAAAGCUUAUCUUGCCAAGGCCUGGCCAACGAUGCCAUGAGCAAGGCCCUGGAUCGCAUUUCCCAGUCGCCGUUCACACGAAGAAUAGAGAGGGCAGUGCUUCCUCGGCGGUUCCAUCAACCAACGUUUGCCAUAUACAAUGGUCAGACUGACCCAGUAGAGCAUGUAAGCCAAUUUAAUCAGAGGAUGGCCGUCCAUUCCAGGGAUGAGGCGUUAAUGUGUAAGGUGUUUCCAUCCAGCUUGGGACCUAUGGCGAUGAGAUGGUUUGAUGCCCUCCAGCUGAAUUCCAUAGAUUCCUUUAAACAGCUGACACAGGCUUUUGGCUCUCGCUUCAUCACCAGCACUAGAGUCCCUCAGCCCCUCGAUUCCCUCCUAUCCUUGUCCAUGCGGGAAGGAGAGACGCUGAAGGCCUACUCGGACAGGUACUGGAAAAUGUAUAAUGAGAUAGAAGGAAAUUACGACGACGUCGCCAUUAGUAUGUUCAAAAGGGGCUUGCCGACAGAACAUGGCUUAAGAAAGUCCCUUACUGGGAAGCCAGUCACCAGCGUACGCCAACUCAUGGACAGAAUUGACAAGUAAAAAAGGGUCGAGGAGGACCAGCAGAUGGGGAAGGGUAAAGUGAAGGUUGUCCCUCAGGAGAGGAGGGACUUCAGGUUGGAUCGCUUUAACAGCAGUAACAGACUGAGAAGAGACUACGCGGAACAGUCCGGACCUACUGGGGCUCAAGCAGUCCAUGCUGUGUUCCGAGAACCAUUGAACAAGGUCCUAGAGAAGGUGAAGUGCGAACCCUUCUUUUAGUGGCCGAACAGGAUGGCAGGCGACCCCUCAAAAUGCAAUCAGAACCUGUACUGCGCGUACCACCAAGAGCCAGGUCACACCACCAAUGAUUGCAGGAAUCUGAAAAACCAUUUGGAUCGGCUUGUCCGAGAAGGGAAGUUGAGGCAUCUGUUGCACCGCCUUGAAGGAUGGCAGGAACAGUCAAAUAUCGAAACCAGACAAGGCACAUUGAGGCCACCCAUUGGCACAAUAAAUGUCAUUCUUGCCGCACCUGGAAGGACCGGUUCCAGCCCUUUCAGAGUAAUGUCAGUGGGCAGGUUCUCGACUGAGCCAGACGAAAGGGAAUCCAAGAGAGCCAGAGUGAGUGCCAUGCCAUUAAUUGGGUUCUCGGAGGAGGACAAGCAAGGAACCCUUCAACCCCACGACGAUGCCCUAAUCGUCACGCUCAGAAUUGGAGGAUAUGAUGUGAAAAUGGUGUUAAUUGAUCAAGGCAGUGCCGUGGAGGUAAUGUACCCUGAUUUGUACAAGGGGUUGAACUUGAAGCCAGAAGACCUGUCGCCAUACGAUUCCCCUCUGGUCAGCUUCGAAGGAAAUAUCGUCACCCCGAAAGGUAUGAUAAGGCUGCCUGUGCAAACAGACUUAGACGUGGUAGAGGUGAACUUCAUUGUCGUAGAUGCGUACUCUCCUUACACCGCUAUCGUGGCCCGGCCGUGGCUUCAUGCACUAGGGGCUGUGCCAUCAACGUUGCACCAAAAAGUGAAGUAUCCGUUAGGAGGUCAAAUCAAAGAAAUAAUAGGGAACCAAGGAAUGGCUAGGCAAUGCAUGGUGUCGGCAAUCUCACGACGACCAAAUAGUGAACCUUCCACUUCAGCCGAGAAUGGUUUAUAACAAUCAAUGACCCCGGUCCCAACUGCGGGUGGUGGAGGACCAGUCACGGAGAUGAGCUGUGAGGAGCUGGAAAAAGUACUCGUCGGAUCAGACCCUGAGAGGUUUUUUCAGAUCGGCUCGGAAUUACCACCACAAGAGAAGUCAACACUAAUUGAUUUUCUUCGACGGAACGCGGACGUAUUCGCCUGGGAUCCCUACGAGGCCCCUGGGUUGACUCAGAUCUAAUAUGCCAUCACCUUAAUGUUAAUCCGGCUAUAACUCUUAAGAAGCAGCCUCCUCGGCGGCCGUCAAAAGAACAUGCAGACGCUGUGAGAGAAGAGGUCGCAAAAUUGAAGAAAGCUGGGGUAAUCAAGGAAGUAUUCUACCCCGAAUGGUUAGCCAACAUAGUUGUGGUAAAAAAGAAGAGCGGGAAAUGGCGAGUCUGCGUAGACUUCACGGACUUAAACAAGGCCUGCCCGAAGGAUCCUUUCCCAAUGCCACGGAUAGACCGAUUGGUAGAUGCGACUGUCGGGCACUCUCGAAUGAGUUUCUUGGAUGCCUUCCAAGACUACCAUCAGAUAUCCCUGGCUCCCGAAGAUCAAGAAAAAACUGCUUUUGUCACCCUAGUUGGAAAUUAUCAUUACAAGGUGAUACCCUUCGGCUUGAAGAAUGCCGGGUCAACCUAUCAAAGGAUGAUGACUAGGAUGUUCGAACAGUAGAUGGGUAAGAAUGUUGAAGUGUAUAUAGAUGACAUGGUGGUAAAGAGCAAAUUAGUGGCCGACCACAUCAGAGACCUCGACGAAGUAUUUCAAAUUCUGAGAAAGUACAAGCUACGAUUGAACGCAUCCAAAUGUUCAUUUGGGGUGGGAUCAGAAAAAUUCUUUGGCUAUAUGGUGACACACAGAGGAAUAGAAAUUAACUCUGACCAAAUAAGAGCCAUCCAUAGCCUGCAGCCUCCUCGGAAUCCCAAAGAGGUCCAGAAGCUUACCGGUAUGAUAGCUGCCUUAAACCGUUUCAUCUCCCGCUCAGCGGACAGAUGCAGACUUUUCUUCCUCCUAUUGCACAAGUGGAAGGGCUUCGAGUGGACUGAGGAAUGUGCUUUAGCUUUCCAACAGCUCAAGGAGUACCUCGCCCGACCACCGAUUAUGUUCAGUCCCGAUGCCGACGAGGUGCUGUUCGCAUACAUUGCAGUAGCCUCUCAUGCGGUGAGCUUAGUGCUAAUCCGCGAAGACAACGGCACGCAGCGACCCUUGUAUUACGUGAGUAAAUCGCUGCAGGAGGCAGAGACCCGGUAUCUCCCCCUCGAAAAAGCUAUCCUAGCCGUCGUACAAGCCAUGCGGAAGCUCCCCCACUAUUUUCAGGCACAUACAGUAGUUGUGCUAACUCAACUUCUGUUGAAAUCCGUCCUCCGCAGCGCCGACUACACAGGUAGAAUUGCUAAGUGGGGAACGAUCCUGGGCACCUUCGACAUUAGAUACAUGCCUCGCACCGCCAUAAAAUGUCAGGUCCUCGUCGAUCUAGUAGCUGAAUUUGCGGAGCCCACCCUAGAAGGAAUGGAAGUGUCGGGAUCAAUUAACCUCGUAGCAAUUUUCACUUAGUGUUAAACAGAACCCAAGUCCUGCAUGGCUCCUCGGACAACAGACUUGGGGGAAAUUAACAUCUUAGCGAUUUUCACUAAAUAUUAAACAGAACCCAAGUCCUGCAUGGCUCCUCGCACCACAGACUUGGGGGAAAUUAACAUCCUAGCGAUUUUCACUAAGUGUUAAACAGAACUCAAGUCCAGCAUGGCUCCUAGGACCACAGACUUGGGGGAAAUUAACAUCCCAGCGAUUUUUACUGAGUGUUAAACAGAACCCAAGUCCUGUCAGGCUCCUCGGACCACAGACUUGGGGGAAAUUAACGUCUCAGCCAUUUUCACUAAGUGUUAAACAGAACCCAAGUCCUGCCUAACUCCUCGGACCACAGACUUGGGGGAAAUUAACCUCUCAGCAAUUUUAUCUAAUUAUCAACUGUCAUUUUUUACACAUUCAUUCACUCAUGCUUGGUUUUCAACAGUUAAUGGCAGAAUAGACAUCCAUUCAUGAUGAAAACAGAAGAGAAAGUAAAACAACAAGAAUAAAAGGAAACGACGCCUUUCAUUAAAAUCCCCAAAAGCGAUCCUUUUACAACCAUUAAACAGAACAAAAUAUAAAUGGUCUAACAAGUAAAAUCCUACACUACUUUCCUAAAUCUGAUUCCUGAGCAGGCCCGGGUUGGUCGUCUGCUGGCUGGGGCUCCGGAACAGUCUCUUUAGCCUGUGCAACAACCUCCCUGAUUAAAAGACUGUCCUCGGGCAACUUGUCCUUCACGGCCGGCUGCGCAUCCUCAGCUUCAGGCAUAGCGGAGUCCGAGGCUAAAGCCUUCGUGGGGAGAGGCUCUUCAGGCGCGACCACGUCAAGGAUCUCAUGAACGUCCUCAAGAAAAAAGAUAUUCUCAGCUUUCCUAAGAUCGGAAUCCGCUGGGACUGCCGCCCGGUCCAAGGCUACGCCCCAAGACAGGGUAAUGUAUUCCCUGCAUACAGCAGCCACCUCCUUGGCUAGCCUGACCUCAGUGUCCUUGACCCCGCGAUCAUAAGAGGCUGCCACUGCUUUCUCGGCCGCCUCCCUAGCCAGACGGGCCUCCCCCUUGACCUUUGCAAGCUCGGCCUUGAGAUCUGAAACCGCCUGCUUCUCUGUCGCGAGAUUUUCCUCGAACUGGCGGAGCUGUAGGCGCAGAUCCUCAGCCUGCUUAGUAGCGUUUUUAAGGCCGGCUUCCGCGCUUGCACGGCCCUUCUUUGCCUCUUUUACUUCAUUGCUCAGACCAUCAUUUUCCUUCUUGAGGUCGCCAGCAGUCCUCUCGGCAGCACAACGGGACUGAACCUCGUUGUGAAGGUCCUCACGUGCCUUUUUGGCCCAUUCCUCAGCAACGAAGAUUUGCUGAGUGACCUGCGCCAGAAAAGAAAAGGCUUAAUUAAAGAAAAUGAUGAAUAAAUAGAUACGUGACAAGAGAAUGAGAUAGGAGAAAUUCUCAUUUACCAUAGCCAUGUCCCUCUUCAGCGACAUGAAGAGGUCUGGUUGCCGAGUAUCCCGUAGCCCCUUCAUAUCGCGAGGCAAAAGAAGAGGCUGCUGUAGGGCCUCGGCCAAGAAUGAUGCCUGCCCUCGCUGGGAUUCCCAUAGGGUCGCAUCCCAAGAAAUUGGAGCGCCGUCCAGUUCGAGCCUUGGCGACCAAAUCCGCUGUUCCCUCCGAAUAGCCGCUUCAUCUCGGCUAUCAAUAGACCGGGUCCUCUUAUCUUUAGGCUCUUUGGUCUCUUUGCCUUUCUUUUGAGGCUUGGCUUUUUCCUGGCCAACCUCGCCCUCCUCCAAUUCCUCCACAGGCCUUUUUCGCCUCAAGUUGGGCAUGGGCUGCAGUGCCGCAUCCGAUGUGGGAGGAAGAGGAGGAGCCUUGGAGGUUGGCUGUUCCUUCGGAACAUCCUUGGAGGAUUGCCCUUUGUUCCUAUUAGAGAGGAGGCCCCUGAGACCAGACCUUUGUUUUAGGUCCAUUCCUUCUUCUUCAAGCUCUUGGCUGGUAUUAACUUGUGCGACUGCUAAACCAAGAUCAGGGGUUGCCGAGGCACGGUCUAAAUCUGAAUCAGAGUCCUAGAGCUCUACUGGCUUGGCCGACACCUCUCCCUCCUCGGCGAAAUGGAAGCUCGCUGAGCGGGCAACUGGACGGGAGGUAAAUCUCUCGAAGCGAGAAAACCUGGUACGGAGACGUCGAUUCGUGCUAAUCGCGGAUUGCCAGCCCUGAUUUCUUGGUCGGCCUCUACUAGAGCACGAGUAAGGGGCUUGUAGUCCAAAAUCAGAGGAGCGGCCCGCAAUUGCCCGUCUGCACUCACGUAAAUCUCAGACCUUAGAAGGAAAUUGAGUGCUUGGAUGUUGACCAAACUUAGCCGAGGAGUCAUAUGCGCCUUGUCUGCAAAGCCCAAAGAGAGGGUUAUGUUAGUCCGAGGAGGCAAACAAGCAAAGUCAAAAUUGAAACGAAGAAAAAGAAAGAUCAAAACUAAGAUCUCUUCCAAGGGAUCUAACUCUAUGGUGUCCCACCUGGUUUUCCUGCCCUGACUGGGUAGUGAAUACCGUCGUGCCAUUGUCCGGAGACGAUCAAAAGGUCGUCCUUCAAACCUUUGUUGGACUUGGGAAGGUAGGAUAUCAACCUCACCUCAUCGGACCUGGACUUCAAGUAAUAUGAGUCGCCGAGACUGUGCAGUUCAUAUAGAUGAACCACGUCAUGCCAUGUAAGGCCGAGGUUCAUCUGAUUGUUUAGGACCUCUAUGCACCCCAGAAUCCGGAACAUAUUUGCGACGCAUUGAUGAGGGGCCAACCUAUGACCACGCAAAUAAUCCCUAGUUAUCCUCCUCAUAGGGAUGGUCAUUCCUCCUUCCACGAAGGCUAUCACUGGAAUGACAACUUGCCCCGUUCUCCUCUUGAUUAAAACCUCCUCUAGAGAACAGUACUCUAGACCUACAUCCGGCGGAAUACGGUAUUUGGCCCUGAAGCCUUCCAUACCGGCCGGGGAAUUUACCAAUUUGUCAAGCUUACCCAUCCCCCUAAUCCUAGAUGAUGCGAAGACGAUUUACUUAAGGAAUAAUGCCGAAAAAGGCAAUGGAAAAGGAAUGUACACUUACGGGUGAGGAACUUGCAGGAAAUCUUCAAGGGGACAACUGCAAAGGCUUGAACGCUUUAAAGGGUAAAGUGCGAGAGUGCUUUGAGUGCUUGAGUGCUUGUCCAAAAAUGAGAAGGAAAUGCCUUUGAAAAUCUUAUGUAUUCGGGAGAAGCUGGACAGACAUACUCCCGCCUAGAGAAACGGAACUGAUCCCAAUCGUCGAUCUAACAUCCAACCGUCGGAUUAAAAAGAUAUUAAACCGCUAUAAGCAAUAAUUAGCGCCUCAUGUGUCAUUAAACACCUCCAUCAUUAAUGAGUCACGUGAGAAGCGUAUCGCCGCACGGGUGAAGCAGGAAUCCACAAUAAAUAGUCCUAUAAAUGUCAAAAUCCCGCCUUUCCUCCUCGGACGAGAAAGAAGGAGCCGGAAUUUUGAGGGGCUAUUGUAGGGGUAAAAUUCCCAAAGCCAAUAAUGGGCCUUGGGCCCCACACGGAGCCCAACCACGACCCAAAGGUAAAGCUCAUGGCCCAAUCCUGUGGAGCCCAGUUUGUUUUAAAAGACGUCCGAGGAGAAAUGUCUCCUCGGACACACCAAUAUGGGCCCAAUGUGCGCCCCCUCCACAGUGAAGAACCAUCCCAGACAAACGUGGGUAGUAGGAUGAGCCACACACAGAAGGAAAGAGGAAAAGGUAAGACGUCCAGAGAGAAGUCACAACUGCCGCAUUAAAUGCAAAGAAGCUACCUUUUUAGCUGCAUUAAUGUGGAGAAGACAGGCGAACAGUGUUGCAUUGGCCAGUGCAACUCACAGAAAGAUAAGGUGGAUAUCCGAUGGGACAGGCACUCAAGUGAAGGUCCAGAUGGUUAACAAGUGUAAGGUCCUUAUCAAAUUAAGGAGGCUAUAUAAGAGAAGGAGAUCCCCAUGCAGAAAGGGGGGGGGGAGAAUUUAGAGAAAAGGGAGAGAGAGAGGUAAAAGAAUUCUGUAGUCUGUAACCAGAGCAAGAGGUGCCAUUAUAUGUCUCCUCGGACCAGUGUCCUGUAAACUUAAACAAAAUAUUAUCACGUUCAGACUGUUGCAUGGCCUACAUCUAACUGACGUUCACUUCGUCCAGCCCUAGUUCUGUAGCCCGCUCUCUACAAAUUCAUUGUCUGGGGACUUUUGGGCCAUAACCACUUACUUGCUGGGCCUGGGCCCCAAAAACCGCCCCUACAAAUACUUAUUUUGCAGGUUCUACUUUCAUUUUUGGAUAAAGAGCUGCAUACUUAACUGCAUCAACUCAAGUUUUGCAAGGCAGGAAGCUUAUGAUGGGGGAGCUUUAGUUGUAGAGCAGAGAAAAGAAUGAAGCAAUCCAAGAGAGACUCGUUGUGAUACAGUGUAGAGACAACAACAAUAUGCUUGCACUUGUUUUCUCAUCUUUAAUAUGACUUUGUUGUUGAUUUACAAAACUCUUUGAAUAUUAUGAUCAUUUGUUAUUAGUACAUGUCAUAUAUUUUACUUUUUGUUAGUGUUUUUUUCAAAUGUGAUAUGUAAUCUUUUGAUUUGAAAUUUUACCAUUUUUGUUGUGAAGGCAAUAACCAGUGAUAGAACAUCAUAUUAUUUUUCAUGUACUCAAAUUGUAAAUCACAACAACAAAAAGUAUGUAAGCUUCUGCUUAGA